AUAAUGAAAACACAAAGAAAUGACAAUGUGCCGACGCGACCUCUCGCUUGUGAACAUAGAUGUCGGCAGCAAAAUGGGUCCGUGCUCGCAGACGACACGAAUCCAACGCUUGCUCCAGCUAGCUCCAGCCAGCCACUCCUCCACUCCUCAUCGGAAAGUGUUCCCCUACGUUUCGCUGGUCGCCUCUUUUUUUUUUUUUCAAGAGCGAAAAGGAGGUGAAGGAAGGACGCCGCAGCGCCGUGUUGGGGAGAGCAACGACGGCGCCGCUGCGGCGAUUGGCGUUGUCGCAAAAUGGCGUUUCCACUGGCGGAGUUCGUCGAAGCUGUGCGUCCUCACCGAUUUCUUUAUGACAGGCGUGAGCCGCAGUUCAAAGACAUCCACAAGAAGGAAGCACUCUGGGCCGUCAUCGGACGACAGUUCGGCAUUGGCGGGUCGAAGGCAAGCCGGAAAUGGAGAAAUGUCAGAGACAAGUAUUACAAGUUAAACAAAGAGGUGCAGCAAGCUCAUAUGCGUGGGGAGGUGCGUGUGCCUGCCUGGCCACACUAUGCAACGCUGCAGGGCAUUUUGGAACCCAGGCGCUGGGUCACGAGGGGCACUACAUUGGUACCAGUCUCCGAAAGUGCUACAGGGGAUGCAAUACUGGAAGGUGUUAUCGUGAAACAGGAGAAACCCGAAGAACCAGCAGCAGAACCACUUGAGCUGCUCCUCUCUGAAGAUGAAAGUGCCAUAUCUGGUGCAUCUGACGACGAAGCCCUUAACUCUCUCGAACGCUGUGUUGCUGCAGCCACCAAAGCCAUCAAGAGGCACCAGCAGGAUAAUCCUGCUGAACAAGAUGAUGGCCUCAACCAUUUUGGUUUGUUUGUGGCCCAGAGGUUGAGAUUGCUGGACGCACAUUUACAAUCGGAAGCCAUGACUCGGAUAUUGAACAUCUUAUGCAAUCCUGGAUAACAGAACGUUCCUGCACACCACCUUGCACGGCAACAUAUUUCUCCGAGCAUCACCUCAUGGCUGUCUACUUUGCUGCCACUCAAGAACGGCCUUCCAAGCAGAAAACCAGGCUGCCAAACAUGUGGCGAGAUACAGGCCUUUGAACAUACGGCCACGUCAAGCCAACACCACCGAGGUAGAUAAAGUGGGCCUCCUCUCAUUCCUUUGCUCGUGGACAUACAAAGUCUUGAUGUCAGCAAUUUCCGCAGACAGGGGCGAGCAUUCCAGUCUACUGUGGCCCAGCAAAAGGAGGAUCUGGAAAAGGUGUCUGCGCAGCAGUCAAAACGUACGAUUUUAGAUUGAUGGUCUAGGGAAAAAUAAUGAACGAAUGAACCAGGCACAAACUGUAUUUGUGGCUGAAUUUGCACUUUUGCAAGUUCACUAUUGGAGCUUUUCAGGUGUUACCCUAAGUGACGAUGAUGCAACUGGGGUGGGGGGUAAAAACAGGUAUCACCGGGUGUAACCCUUAAGCACAAGGCAUUGAGUGUUACUUUGCUUUGACCGGGACAAUUAUAUGUAGAAGACCAACUAUCUCCUGGUUGCGAGUGUUGUGCCUCCCAACAUUACAGCCGAGCUCACCGACAAAUUGAGUUCUCCACCUCCAGCAUUCCAGGCCGAUACAUACUCACUUGUGCACACUCAAAAUUCAGAAGGACAGGAGCAAGAGCUGCUGAACGAGUGAGAAGCAACAUACACACUGUACUCCUCAGUUUGGGGUCUCAAGUCAAAGAGACAAACAAAUAAAUGUACAAUGCAGAACAAGGCUGAUAUAAUACAGUUACUAUAAUAUUAAUAUAAUUAAUAUAAUUCUUUUAUAAUCAGAGAGGAACAACAUCUUACUAUGUCUUAAAGUAACACCACCAAGUAACAAGUAAAGUGACACCAACACAAAAGGAACAGGAUUUAUCCAUUGUGCCAUUCAUGAUUUAUCAGAACCUGCAACUUGCCCUUCCCUCUCCUUCUCAAGAAUGUCGGCAACGCGCAGUUGUUUCCCAUUGGUCUCCAUAAACGAUUUGUCCAAUCAUCGCGGGAGAUCGUUUGAAGAUACCAAUCCGAGGCCUCACCUCAUUCUCGUGCUUCUUGAGAAGGAGAGGGAGAGAGAAAGCCUUUCACUCAUAAAUCAUGAACACAGAUGAGUCCUGUACCUUUUGUGUUGGUGUCAAGGUAAUCUUUCAUUCCACAAGGAGACAUUUUUGCAGUUUAGUGUUCCUUUAACAAGGAAAGAUGUACAUGUAGCACUAGCUCAUGAAUGCUCAUCAAGUUUGCACGUUGUCCUUACUUCUGUUGGCAGUGCAGGUCGUAAACUGUAAGCACAAAUUUUAACCUUGCCCAUGUGGUGCGUUAAACGCGGCGCUUUUGUUUCCGGGUUUUAUCAGGCUGACUCCGUUUGAAAUAAGUCAUCAUCCAUUCAAGAUCACCGCGGUCUUUGCACAUACCGAGGGUGAGAGAAUGUUGUUUCAGCAUCGCAACUGCUGUGCGGCAGACAUAUCAAAUUUAGCCCAACGGGUGCUAAAGUAGCGGCAGCAUAAUUUUAAAGAAUCACUAUUUUGAUGCCAUUGUUGUGCAGUGAUGGGUGUAUGUCAAACUGUCUCAGUUGUACUUUGAUCAUUACACGCAUGAGGGAAAGGCAUACUCAUUAAACUAUGGGCUCAGCUUCAUGUAGGGAUCAAGAACGGCGCCUAGUAUCCGCAUGUGAAACCAAUUUUCUGAUCCAGAGUAGUUUCCCAUUUGGUAAGUACGAUGUCAGAGUUCUUCACAAUUUGCUCCACUGAGAGCACAUGCCAAGGGAUAGCGUCCCGCUUCCAUGAAAACCAGUGUUUACGGUGAACAUAGCAGGAUUGUAAAAAGGGGAUAAGCAGGUCUUUUGCUGCACCCAUUUUGGCUGCUGCCAUGGCUCACUCUUCUGGAGUGUUACUACAGCUUCCAAAGGUUUAAGAGCUCAGUGAUUACGGGUAAAAAGUUUGGGGUGGAAAUACCACGAAAAUUUGUGUUUUGCCUAAUAAAGAACAGUAUAAAUAUAUAUAUAUGGCCUUGUGUUUUAGGGUUAAACCCGAUAAAACCUGCUUUCUGAAGUGGGGUAAAUGGUAUAUCAUGAUAUAAAAAUACAACACAGCAAUGGACAAAGACAGAAGGAUCACAACAAUACAACUGCAUACACAACGCAGUUGUGUUGUGAUACUUCUGUCUUUGUCCGUUGCUGCGUGUGUUUUCAAACCAGCUUUUACCCCCAAUUUGCAUCCUUGUCACUUAUGGUAAAACCUGAAAAGUUACUUGGUAAUGUGCCAAUCCAGCCACCAAUACAGGCAUUGAAGACCGCUUAGCACUGUGCAUUCAGUACGGCUGUUCCACAUCUUGUGUUCAUCUCAAAUGCUAGAUGCACUUUGUUUAUUUUCCACCCGAUAUAUCCCGAUUUUACCGUUUUAUGGCUGCUGAAAUAAAACCUGAUUUUCACGAGACAUAAAACCCGAAAACACAAGGCCCUCAGACAGUCGAGCCCGUUUAUUACGAUAUUCGAUAUCACGAUAACUCUGACAUUACGAUCGAAUUGCUGUUUCCUGUCAGCUCACACAUUGAAGUACUACAUGCAAGCAAGACAUCGAUAUAAUGAAUGUUGUGAAAGCAUUCACUCGCAUAUAGCGAUCAAGAUUCUCCCGCAGAUCGGUAAAACGUGAGAAAAUGGAGAAGCAAGAUUCCAUUUUUCAUUGAAAACAAAUUAAGGAGGCAUGUUCAGGAGCUCUAGCCUCCAGGAGCAUAAAAGUGAGAACUCUGCGCGUUUGCCUGUGCAUAACUGACGGCGAUUAGACGUGUUUCAUUGCAGAGCAUGCGACUUUAAAGUCACUCGCGAGGAGUAAAGGAGGUUACUCCCUCUUGACAUCGUUCUCUCACCCACAAGAUUUUUUUCCUGAUUUGCUGCGUGCUACGAUGGCAUCUGUGUGUCCGGCACGUGUUUUGAUGAUGAAAGGUACGUGGCUAGACUCAAACUGAAGUUGCACGUGCUCGACAGAUCUUGUACCGGUGCAAAACCUCAUCACGAAGUACCGUGCCUUCCAAAAUGUGAGUUGGUAGACAGUUGCGUGUCGCCAUUCAAACACGUGCCGACAAAUUAUCCGUCGAUGAGGCACGUCCGGUAGUGAGAAUGAUAACUACGGCACUGUAUGACGAUCAAUGGAGGAAGCUGUCGAUCCCAAGAGGUGCGGAGGCUCACGUGGUGUCGGCGGUAAUGUUGUCCUUGGAAAAGCUUUCGACAAAAAGCUGUGUCAAUCUAGAGCUAGAUAAAAUGCUUUUGUGCCCUCAACAAACGUACAUGUUCAGCGGUGAGUAUGGCAUAGAUGUGUGCCAUAUUCAUUUUCUCACCAAUUAUGUGGUCUUCAUGUAGAUGUGUGGGUCUGAGAAGAAAGGAACCUUAGGCACCGAGAGGCAGGAAUCAACUGAACGUUUUAAUAUGCACGCAGCAUCAUAAAAAGCAUGCACUCUAAACACGUUAUCAUCGUCCUUCCCAGGAGCACUACAGAUGCAGGCCAGCUGGUGGACAAAUUCCGUGUCGGUCUGUGGGGUAAAUCAUUAAAUUUUGUUCCCCGUGCGAAAAAUGUCAUUUAUUUGUAUUCCUAGUUACGUGGGUUUGUUUAUAUUGGUCAAACGUCUCACUGCUUAAAUCAAAGGCUGCGUCAGCACAGAAAAGACCGUGACACAAAUUUAUCUGGUCCUUUAGAGGUUUGUAAGAAUGGUGAACCACUUUGGAGUGAAACCACAAUGAUUGCCUGGGAGCCUGACACAUGAAGACGACUUCUAAUAGAAGCUAUUUGCAAUACAGAGUGCAGGCAAUUGUGUGUUGCCUCUGUGUCUGUUCAUCCAGCCUACAGACGCCUUCUGUGACAUUUGAAACUUUCGCUUGACCUGGUUCUUUUCUGUCUGAGGAUGGUUGGCCUUUGCCUUCCCUUUUCCUCCUCGUUUUCUCAUGAGUCAUGUUUAUAUAUUUGUAACUUGCCUUGUCAUGUGUUUGUCCUGUCCCUCUAUUUGUGCAAAAAAUCAUGCUCAAUCACAUUAUGAAUAUUUAGCGGUGUUGUACUUGUACCAUUGUACUUCGCUGAUAUUAUCUCGACCGGCGAUUUAGCGAAAGUUGAUGUAUAACGAUCGGGUUUCACGUUCCCAUCAACACGUAUCGUCAUAAACAGGCUCGACUGUAUAUGCACUUGAAAAAUCAGCCUUUCAUAGCAAUGAAGCACUUGAAAGUGGUACACUGCAACUUAGCACAAGAAUGAUGACAUACUGUACAAGAAAAAAUGCUGUUUAUUUUUCUGUAAGCCUCACACUAACCAAUCUGCACACCCUCUGAUUUUUGUGAGUCUCGAAGGAGGAUGCUGCCCAUUUCCACGAUCUCCGUUGAGGAAGUCUCUGUGUGUGUUGCAUCACACCUGCUGUGUCCGACGCGUGGCUGUACAAGCUCCGGGACACUACAAAGCGGCUGGCAAUAUAUCUAGAAUCGAGCGAUUCCGUUACAGAGUAAAUAAAUUAUUUCACUGCGAGCACUACUGCACGCAAACGACAGCCAGACCUGGGAAUGCUUUCAAGAGAUUCCUUUCAAACGAAAGUGGCGAGUGCAGAGGGAGACGUGGGCUCCUGCGGCCGUUUCUUCUUGGCCCCGUACUGGCCGAUAAAAGAGCCAUCUUCCCCAAACUGAGCUGCUUCACCCUCUCCAUACUCUGCCAUGCUGUCUGUGUCACUCUCUUUGCCGCUUGACUGCAGGGAGCUGCGGCUCGCUGGCAGACGUGGUGCUCUGAAAGUUUCGUACUUUUAAACUCUCGUUGAACUAGAAAGAGUACCUUGUUGAUGUAAGAGACACAGGGAAAUGGUCUGCAAUUGUUAUAAAUGUUUGGUAUUCCUCUGUUGCAAUAUCACAGCCUUCCAAUCUCCUUAGUAUUACUCGCCAUGCUGCAAGGCACGAUAUUCGAGCAUAAAAAUGUUUAAGGGUAGCAUAACAAAGGCAGCAUGCAUGAAAAGGAACAGAACCAGGGGUGCAAUGAAUAAUGUAUUCAGUUGAACCUCUAUAUAAUGAAACUGAAAAUGACUGCACUUUAACUGGUUAAACCGAACGCACCGACCCACGUGCCCUAUUCUACGUUACACUGUCAUAAGACUGGCGUAAAAACAUGGAAUGAGUGCUUAUUAUUGAAUGUUGCACAAUUUUCAAUGAGUACAAACGUCAUCAACGUACUUGACAUUCAGGAGCAUACGAAAAAAGUAAGUUCUGAGUGAACUAUACUUUCCGACGUGGGGAGCACAGGGUGUUCGUAAGUCGCGGAUAGGUACAUCAUUUUUUUUCGGUCAUGGACACUACAUUGAUUAUCGCAAGUUCCUCAUCAACUGACAAAACCUUUGCUUUUUGGACCGCACUAAUCACAAAGCACCACUGGAAAACAAAUUCGAAAAACGAAUGUAACAGGGGACCGAUUGCGCAGUUCCCACUGCAGAACCAUGUGGCAAAAGUGAUGAAUGCCCGAUUUGCUAAUUAGGUCAUUUUACGUGACAACACCAAUAACCAAUAUGAACGCAUUGUCACGUUGACGUUCCUCCUUCCCUCUCCUGUGGGCGGGACUCGUCCUUUCUCCCGCACAUGAGGAGAGGCAGGUACGACGGCGCAGAGAGGUUGUUUCAGGAGUUUGCUGCCUAUGGGCUUCGUUAAAUAGAAUGUGUCUGGUGGAAACACUUUGUUAAAUCAAGUGCAAAAAUGCAUUGAUGUCUAUGGGGAAAUGUACAUGCAACAGAAAUAAUACGUUAAAUAGACGUUAAACUGUAAUGAAUUGUUAGGGACUUCAAUUUUUUAAACUACAAAGACUGACUUGAAUUAAGUGUCAGCCAACAGGUGAUACCCUGACAAUCUUGUUGCACUUAGAACUUAAAGGAGCAGUCAGGUGUCUCCUCAUAAUUUUUUUGGUUCUGGGUUGCAUUGUUCUGGGAACAAAUUGAAUGAGCUAAGCAUGAGGAAAAGCAUGAAGCACUGGCAUUGGGCCUUGGAAUGUUUUCAUUGAAAUUUGAUCGCACGGUGACAGUAUACCGCACAGCAUGGUGGCUCCUGAUGAACAGCUUGAAGAAUGAAACAGGGUUUUGAGCCACGUUAAAUGUCAUGUGCUUGUGCAUUUAAGCAUCAAUGAUCCCGUAUCAAUGAAGAUAAUGAUACAAAAGUGGAUGUAACUGUGUCCCAUUCCUCUACUUUCUUUAUGUCUCCUUUCAUUUACUCUCAACAUGGACUACAAGUCCACAGUCAUGUGUUUAUGCUACAAAAGAAGGUGAUCAAAGUGAAAUGAUGAACUCAAUGGCUUAAUAACUGUUUUGGUAUAAGUACCUGGAGUGAUCUGAGAUUUUCAGUGCUGAAUUUCAAAACUUGCUGUAUAAUUUUUGGUACUGGCUAUUCAACUCCCGGCUUCUAAUGUAUAUGGCUGCCAUAUUACGGUGUCAUAUGUGGAGCUGCUAAUAAAGUAUAAUCUGAAGAUGCGUAU